AGCUCAGUUGGUUAGAACAUGGUGCUGAUAACGGCAAGGUUGCAGGUUCAAUCUGGGACAGCUGCAUAUUCCUGC